rnacentral:lncRNA from 1 species
CGCAAGCGGAACCAUCAACCCCGAUGGGGGCAGAGGAGCCGCCAACAGCUCUCGGGGACAAAGGGCCGGCGCCAUAGGAAGUGAUGCCGGGGGAGGCGGCAACGAAGGGACCUUAGACUUUGGGUCCCAGAGAAGAACGCAGCCAAGAAGAGAAAACGCGCGCACCGCCAGAGCUUCAGCCACGAGACUUCUGACACCGCGAGAACUGUGGUUUCAGCUCGGCUUUUCCCCGCCCACCUCCACAGCCCGCCCAUUCCUGUGACGCACGCAUCGAAUCCGGGCCGCCUGUACACCAAUCAAAGUGACGAGGCGCGGGAGAGCUCGGAAUGGGCGGGAAAGCCCCGCCCCUCGCGCGCAGGCUCUUGGGAGAGCGUCACCCGGGCUAUAAAAGCGUGCGCGCACCGUUCAGAAGUCUCUUUGGCUGCGAUCCGCCUACGAGUAUGUAGUUGUAUGGUGGGGAUGAUAUCUUGGGCCUUAUUUGUGAGUGGCCGAGAUGCGGGAGACACAAGGUGGCUAUGGUGCUGGCCGAAAGCCAUCAACUCUGCAAGAGCGCCGUGAAGGUUAGCGCGACGACCACCAUGUAAAGCCGAUACGGUGUUGGGCGGCGUGACGCAAGUUCGCCACCGCUGGGUCGGAUGGAAACGCCGGGACCCGUUGCUGUUGAACAGUGGAGGAAGUGUUAAGGUACUGUAGUGGUUGAGAUCGUCUCUGGUCAACUUACAGGGAAUCUUCGCUUUUAAUUUUUGAAAAUUGAAUAUUUUAUAUUAAAUAAAAGAUGUUUGGUGUGUAAUAAGACUGUGUCCUGUUUCUGGAGGUUGUGUGAAUUAAGAGUUAACGAUACAGGAGACAUUUGCGCAGGAAAUAACUGGGUUAACUAGGCUUCCAAAGAAGAUAGGUUUGAUUGUUACAAAGGUGCAAGAUAAAUGUUGGCUUGGAACAUGAGUGAUUAAUAAGCCACAGACGGUUGCCCUUAAUGAAAAGUAUCUUUUGCUUGCUGCUCUCCAAGCCUUCUAGUGUGUGCCAUUCAACUUCAAAUCUCCAGAAGCCAAGUAUGUAACACCAGCUAGGGGGUGUGUUGUGACAGGUGCUGAGGGGAUACUUGUGACCUUAGAGGCUUUUGUGUCUGGGAUUUGAGGUACUGAGACUCACACUCAAGAGUAUGAUAGGCCUUAUUUAGGGAAGCUUAGGAACCAGGGGGUGAUUCCUCUGCACAGAGAUUAUUGGGAUCCAAAUUCCCACCAGAUGUCUCUGGGCCUUCAUUCCUAUUUAAAAAGGGCUGCUGUAAGGUCAUGGUUCCACAAGUGGUCAGUAAUUUGUAUGGCCUCUUAACUGCUUGCCAUUUCAUGUGUUAGGCUUUCUGGUACAUAAGGAGAGCCUCUUUAAAACAUUUGUCAGGUUAGUCUCAGGAGAUCUGAACUUACUUGAAGGUACCAGUAGAUGGCGUACUUUUUCAUGGUUCAAAAGGCA